GGGGCUGAUUCUGGAUUCGACGGGAUUUGCGAAACCCAAGGUGCAUGCCGAGGGGCGGUUGGCCUCGUAAAAAGCCGCAAAAAAAAUAGUCGCAAACGACGAAAACUACGCUUUAGCAGCUUAAUAACCUGCUUAGAGCCCUCUCUCCCUAGCCUCCGCUCUUAGGACGGGGAUCAAGAGAGGUCAAACCCAAAAGAGAUCGCGCGGAUGCCCUGCCUGGGGUUGAAGCGUUAAAACGAAUCAGGCUAGUCUGGUAGUGGCGUGUCCGUCCGCAGGUGCCAGGCGAAUGUAAAGACAGACUAAGCAUGUAGUACCGAGGAUGUAGGAAUUUCGGACGCGGGUUCAACUCCCGCCAGCUCCACCA
rnacentral:tmRNA from 1 species